GACGAACGCUGGCGGCGUGCUUAACACAUGCAAGUCGAACGAUGAACCACUUUGGUGGGGAUUAGUGGCGAACGGGUGAGUAACACGUGGGCAAUCUGCCCUUCACUCUGGGACAAGCCCUGGAAACGGGGUCUAAUACCGGAUACAACACUCUCGGGCAUCCGAUGAGUGUGGAAAGCUCCGGCGGUGAAGGAUGAGCC
rnacentral:rRNA from 1 species